CACAAGCGGAGGAACAUGUGGUUUAAUUCGAUGAUACGCGAGGAACCUUACCUGGGCUUAAAUGGGGAGUGACAGCUGGCGAAAGUUGGGUUUUUCUUCGGGACACUCUUCAAGGUGCUGCAUGGUUGUCGUCAGCUCGUGCCGUGAGGUGUCGGGUUAAGUCCCAUAACGAGCGCAACCCUUACUGUUAGUUGCCAGCGGGUCAAGCCGGGAACUCUAACGGGACUGCCACCGUAAGGUGAGAGGAAGGUGGGGAUGACGUCAAAUCAGCACGGCCCUUAUGUCCAGGGCUACACACGUGUUACAAUGGUCGGUACAAAGGGCAGCUACACCGCGAGGUGAUGCUAAUCUCUAAAGCCGGUCUCAGUUCGGAUCGAAGUCUGCAACCCGACUUCGUGAAGUUGGAUUCGCUAGUAAUCGCGCAUCAGCCAUGGCGCGGUGAAUACGUUCCCGGGCCUU
rnacentral:rRNA from 1 species